AGCGAAAUAGUUUACUAUAAAACAAUAGAUUGUGGUUCUAUAGAUAGGCUUCUAUGUACUUUUCGUUG
rnacentral:tRNA from 2 species